rnacentral:rRNA from 1 species
UGGGGAAUAUUGGACAAUGGGCGGAAGCCUGAUCCAGCCAUGCCGCGUGUGUGAAGAAGGCCUUUUGGUUGUAAAGCACUUUAAGCGAGGAGGAGGCUACUUGGAUUAAUACUCUAGGAUAGUGGACGUUACUCGCAGAAUAAGCACCGGCUAACUCUGUGCCAGCAGCCGCGGUAAUACAGAGGGUGCGAGCGUUAAUCGGAUUUACUGGGCGUAAAGCGUGCGUAGGCGGCUUCUUAAGUCGGAUGUGAAAUCCCUGAGCUUAACUUAGGAAUUGCAGUCGAUACUGGGAAGCUAGUGUAUGGGAGAGGAGGAUAGAAUUCCUGGUGUAGCGGUGAAAAGCGUAGAGAUCUGGAGGAAUACCGAUGGCGAAGGCAGCCAUCUGGCGUAAUACUGACGCUGAGGUACGAAAGCAUGGGGAGCAACCAGG